GUAGGUGGGCAAGCGUUGUCCCCGGAAGUUAUUGGGCGUAAAGCGCGCGCAGGGCGGUCCUUUAAUCUGAUGUGAAAGCCCACGGCUCAACCUGGAGGGUCAUUGGAAACUGGGGGACUUGAGUACAGAAGAGGAAAGCGGAAUUCCAAGUGUAGCGGUGAAACGCGUAGAGAUUUGGAGGAACACCAGUGGCGAAGGCGGCUUUCUGGUCUGUAACUGACGCUGAGGCGCGAAAGCGUGGGGAGCAAACAGGAUUAGAUACCCUGGUAGUCCACGCCGUAAACGAUGAGUGCUAAGUGUUAGGGGGUUUCCACCCCCUUAGUGCUGCAGCUAACGCAUUAAGCACUCCGCCUGGGGAGUACGGCCGCAAAGGCUG
rnacentral:rRNA from 1 species